rnacentral:rRNA from 1 species
AGAGCGAACGCUGGCGGCAGGCCUAACACAUGCAAGUCGAACGGACUCUUCGGAGUUAGUGGCGGACGGGUGAGUAACACGUGGGAACGUGCCUUUAGGUUCGGAAUAGCUCCUGGAAACGGGUGGUAAUACCGAAUGUGCCCUUCGGGGGAAAGAUUUAUCGCCUUUAGAGCGGCCCGCGUCUGAUUAGCUUGUUGGUGAGGUAAUGGCUCACCAAGGCUACGAUCAGUAGCUGGUCUGAGAGGAUGACCAGCCACAUUGGGACUGAGACACGGCCCAAAACUCCUACGGGAGGCAGCAGUGGGGAAAUCUUGCGCAAAUGGGGCGAAAAGCCUGACGCAAGCCAAUGCGCGUGUAUGAUGAA